rnacentral:rRNA from 1 species
GAAAACCAGGGUACACAGACAGACCACAUAAUCAACGCCACUCUCCGACGCAGAGCAGCCGGUGACCUCUCUCCCCGGACCGUCGGACCGACUGAGAAGCAGGUUAGGACACGCGCAGAGGAGGGCGUGGCGUGCGCUGCACGCAAGGGCUCGGCUGGCUUGGAUCGUGGGAGAGCAGAGGAGGAGAGAGAAGGAGGAGGGAGGUGGAAGGGCCGAGAGGUGAAGUGUAGCCGUCAUUCUACGACCGACGCCGCCGCCGUCGCCGCCGCUCGUAACCUCGCUGACGCCGCGGACCUGCGACACGUGAUCGGCUCAACCAGCUACCACUCCUUGCCAACACGAGUUGUAGCAGGAGGUUAAGCAAGAGGGGUUGGUGGGUACCGAAGGCCGUGUUAGUUUAGCCGGUACCGUUCCUUCCGGCUCUAGAACAUGCCAUGCGGUACUGGAGUGGAAGGAGAAGGUGAGGGGUGGCUGAUGGUGGUUCGUACCUCUAUCUAGCUACCUGCUAGCGUAGCCGACGUCACCCCCUUCACCUUCCCCUGAAGGAGCUCUUAGAACGGCUCUGCACACGUCUAGACUCCUGUUUCCCUUCUUAUUCUUCUUAAAUCGGUCUCUAAACUUCUUCUAGUUCCAACCUUCUUGACAAGACAAAGACGUAGACGUUGGACGACGACUACGAGUUCUAAACGAGAGGAAAAGGUUACGUACAUCAUGUACUACUUCACCAUCCGACCUUCUUCAGGUUUCGGUGAAAAGCAGUCUACGCUAUAUAAUGUGACUCAUACUCUUAAGUAUCGUAGCAACACUCCGGUACGGAGGCUACCAGUUUUAGGGAAUGUACUACUACAACCUACAAGAAAAUCUUUAACAUGUCGAAGGUCGUCGUCUUAUAGCUUCGUUUCAUACCCUACCGUUAUAUCAUACACACUGACAAAAAAAAGUAUACGGGCGUAGUAUACAACUUCUACUACCGUCAUCUACUACCGUCAGUAUACCGAUAAGGACCUUAAGUCACAAAGCUAGUACGUUACAGCCUCCUGUGUCGACGAUACCUUCGUUCACCUAUGUAUUUUACGUAUCGAUUCUGGCUUUAUUCCUGAUGUUAAUGUCGUGGUACUUCUUUGACCUACUUCUUUUAGUCAGAGAUUUCGUACUCGACCGACAUCGGUUCAUCAUAUUGUCUUUAUUUUACUUCCACUUCUGGUCCAGGUAGUUCUUGUCCGACCAUGAUCGAUUCAUAUUCUCGUUCUUUUGAUGAUACCUGACCAAGAAAGAUUGUUCUAUGUACGUACCUAAGAAGCUAGUAUAUAGGUUACAUUCCCGUGAUUUGUUUAAUAGACCCUUUCUUGGAUAUCUAGUCGAAUAUUUACCUGGAGAAUUGUCGUAACUCUUCCACCGUCUUUCCGAGUUUGCGUCCCACUAAUCGAGUCUCUUCUUAAAUUCUUCGGAGUCCUCUCUCAAAAAUCCUACUAUGGGACCUUCUUACGUAGGAUUCGUUCCAGGAAAAUCUUAACACUAGGUAAAGCGGGGAAAACAGAUGGGAUUGACAUCUCCAAUUGGCAUUACAUAAUAAUAGAAGGAGAAAUCUUCAGGGGUCAUUCUGAACGCUUCCGAUACACACACUUUCGAUUACUGGUAAGACAAGUUUCGAAAAUAACGGACAUGGUUAAUACAGACAUUUGUCGUAUCGGUUCCGGUAGUUACCUGAAGUUUCAUGGACAACCAACAUGUAUCCGGUUAAGAAUCGCACACAUAAAAGG